rnacentral:rRNA from 1 species
GACGAACGCUGGCGGCGUGCUUAACACAUGCCAGUCGAACGGAAAGGCCCUGCUUUUGUUGGUUGCUCGAUUGGCGAACGGGUGAGUAACACGUGAGUAACCUGCCCUUGACUUUGUGAUAACUUCAGGAAACUGGGGCUAAUACCGGAUAGGAGCUCCUGCUGCAUGGUGGUGGUUGGAAAGUUUCGGCUGUUGGGGAUCGACUCGCGGCUUAUCAGCUUGUUUGUGGGGUAGUGGCUUACCAAGGCUUUGACGGGUAGCCGGCCUGAGAGGGUGACCGGCGACAUUGGGACUGAGAGACGGCCCAGACUCCUACGGGAGGCAGCAGUGGGGAAUAUUGCACAAUGGGCGGAAGCCUGAUGCAGCAACGCCGCGUGCGGGAUGACGGCCUUCGGGUUGUAAACCGAUGUCGCCGGUGACGAAGCGUGAGUGACGGUAAUGGGUAAAGAAGCACCGGCUAACUACGUG